rnacentral:lncRNA from 1 species
AAUAUACUUUAAUCCUUCAAUUUUGAUACAAAACAUAACAUACCUUUCAGUGAUAUGUAUAAUAAAUAAUGUAAACAAUAGCAUUUAACAAGUACAACAUAAUAUAAAAUAUGUAAAUAAUCAAUGAGUUAUAAUAAAACCCAAUAUAGCAGAACUUUACAACCAAAUCAAAUUUUGUCUGUAGAUGAUAAAACAAAACCAUUACAGUAUAGUCUAAUAGAAUAGUUGAUAUGUGUUGUACUACAUCACACUUCCUAACUUUUUUUCACUAUAGGAAUGUAUUUCUACCAAGCUAUAAUCAAUUACAUAAAGCCUAAUAUAGCAGAAUUUUACAACCACUACACAUUUUGUCUGUUGAUGAUAAAAUAAAAAGAUUAUAGUCAAAUAGAAUAAUUGAUAUGUGUUGAACUACCUCACACUUCCCCAACUAUUUUCACUUUAUGAAUGUAUAUCCACCAAGCUAUCCAAUGAUAUCAAGUUUUUUUCUUUACUAUCAAAUUUAAUGCAUAAAAAUAUUUCAACAUUCUAUAAACAUAACUAUACAUAUUUUAUAUACAAGUCCAUGUAAGGAAUAAUCUUUGAAUAUAUUAUAUAUCAUGCAAAAAAGAAGCAAAAAAUAUCACUAAGAAUAUAAAUUAAUUUUCACAAAAUCUUAGGUGGUCAAAUAAAUUUCAAGAACAUUGAUUUAAAAAAAUCAAGAGAAUUUCCGAUAUGUUCUUUCUUUCAUUGACUGAAUGGAGUCCUGUAAAGGGACCUGUCUGAGUGAUUCUUGUCAAACUUUUCUCAAAAAUUGCUUUGGUACAGAUGUCAAAACAAUUAUAUUGAGCGGUAAUGCAGUAAAUAUUAUUUUUUAAUCACAAAAUAAGAAUAGUUAAGUAUUUUCUUUUACUAGGAGUUAUAAUCAACAUUUUAAAGAUGCAUCAAAUACAUCAUGGUUUUAUUUGGUGCUGUUGAUAUUCAAAAACCAAUGCAGAUUUAAAGUAGUUUUUUUUCUAAAUACAAAUUUGAGUUCCAAAGUUGAAGACUUGAGUAGAUUUUGAUUAAAACUUGAAAUGAAACCUCCCUAAUUGCUAGCAUAAUAUUUUGAUCCACUGUUUUGGAGAACUGAGUUUAUUCUUCAACAUUUUGACUACUUUCAGAUUAUUUUGAAACAACCAAGGGGGAUUAAACAUAAAUUUUAACUACAGAGAAAAACUGUAUACACAAAACAUACAUGAUUUUAUAAUAUGACUAAGAAAUCCUGCAUAUUAAAAAAAAUAUGAAACUAUUGAACGUACUGAAAGAUUGUACACAUCUGACUUUUUCAGACAGUUUUAUUUCUAUUCUAUAUCAGAGCAAAACUUUUAAACUACAUUUUAGUCAUUUGAACUAUGAUAAAUUGAAACACAACAAAA